GUAGUCCACGCCGUAAACGAUGAGUGCUAGUUGUUGGGUUUUACUCAGUAACACAGUUAACACGUUAAGCACUCCGCCUGGGGAGUACGGUCGCAAGAUUAAAACUCAAAGGAAUUGACGGGGACCCGCACAAGCGGUGGAGCAUGUGGUUUAAUUCGAUGCUACGCGAAAAACCUUACCAACCUUUGACAUCCCUCUUUUGAACUUCGUAAUGGAAGUUCUUCGGUUCGGCCGGGGAGGAGACAGGUGUUGCAUGGCUGUCGUCAGCUCGUGUCGUGAGAUGUUGGGUUAAGUCCCGCAACGAGCGCAACCCUCAUUUUUAGUUGCCAUCGGGUAAUGCCGGGAACUCUAGAAAAACUGCCCGUGACAAGCGGGA
rnacentral:rRNA from 1 species